rnacentral:rRNA from 1 species
GUAGGUGGCAAGCGUUGUCCGGAAUUAUUGGGCGUAAAGCGCGCGCAGGCGGGUCCUUUAAGUCUGAUGUGAAAGCCCACGGGCUCAACCGUGGAGGGUCAUUGGAAACUGGGGGACUUGAGUACAGAAGAGGAAAGCGGAAUUCCAAGUGUAGCGGUGAAAUGCGUAGAGAUUUGGAGGAACACCAGUGGCGAAGGCGGCUUUCUGGUCUGUAACUGACGCUGAGGCGCGUAAAGCGUGGGGAGCAAACAGGAUUAGAUACCCUGGUAGUCCACGCCGUAAACGAUGAGUGCUAAGUGUUAGGGGGUUUCCGCCCCUUAGUGCUGCAGCUAACGCAUUAAGCACUCCGCCUGGGGAGUACGGCCGCAAAGGCUG